UUCUAACUAAGUGCAUUGUGUGUGUGUGUGUAUAUACUCAAAACCAACAUACAGAAAAAGUCUUUUCUUCUCCAUUUGCCACCUUUUUUUGGCUUGCCAACCUUCCUCUUAACUAGGGUUCUCCCUUGUUCCCCAUCCUCCUUAUUCUUUCUUGGCCUUCUCACCUUCUUCUACAUUUGAGUAGUACUUUCUCCCGGUGGCACUACAGAACUAAUCUCUUUUUCUGGAUUCUUUUUCCUUGACUUUGGAGUGGGUUUAUUAGGAUAGAUUUCAUAAAGUAUGAAAUCUGUAACCUUAACAACAGAUCGGAAGGACCCCUUAGAUUCCUUAUGAAUAUAGUACUACAAUCCCAGAUGAAUAUAAAUUUUAUCAAGCUUCCUUUUCUAUUUCCAGAUGAAUAUAAUACUCUAAAAACUAAUUUGUUAAGUUGAAAAAACUAAAAGGGACUUACUGUAUCACAUAUUUUAGUAUCCCGUUGUCAUUUCUCAACCGUCCAGCCUUUGAUUCUUUCCUACAUUAUGUAUCUGGGAUUUGUAUUGGGUCGAAGAUGCUCCCGAGUGUAUUAUCAGUAAGAAAAUUAACUAUUAAAGAGUUUUUAGCAAAACCCAUUUGACCUAAAAGAAAAUCUUAGAAACUUAAGUAAUAGAAAAUUUUACUAACAAGAUCAAUAUUAUCAGCCAUAGCUAGGAGAUCUUAAGGAAGUGUAAAUGAGACUGCAGUUGUUCCAGCUACUAGACAUUUAGUUUGUCUUUUGCAUCCCUUCAAGUUUCCCUACAAAUUAAUUAACACUGACUACACUAUGAUCUAAAAAAUCAGUAUAUAAAAUUGCAUUCAUAUAUAAAUAUAUAUGUAUAUAGAAAGACAAAGAGAUCGUGGGAGUACCAUUUGAGUAGAAUCAAAAGGGUGGAUAUCUUCUUCAUUUGGUCUUUUGAAAGAAAUGGGGAUUACUGGCUCAGCCUUUGCUGCAAUAUUUAUAUCUUUUCCAGCUAAUUGUUUGGCCUUUGCGGCUUGAUAGGCUUCCUUCUCUUUUUAUUCUUCUUUCACCUUCUCGCUAAACUCCAUUAUCUUUUAUUUCAAGAUGGAUAGUUUUAAUAAAUUCUCAAAAAAAAAAAUCAUUAAAAUCUUCACAUAUCUAUAUAAUCUGGAACCAACCCCAAUGAAUUUUCGC
rnacentral:lncRNA from 1 species